rnacentral:rRNA from 1 species
AUGCGGGCACAGACAGACCCUUGGUUCUCGGAAUACCUCCUACGGAUCGGCAAUGGAACGGAAGAAACAAUUGGCAACGACUAUGUGCAUCUCCCUGAAGACAUUGUGAUUGCUUAUACCGACGAUGAAGAACCUAUUAACAAGCUUAUCGAAGAUGUCUUCCCAUCCCUACACACCAAUGCUAGGUCGAGAGAGUACAUGAGCACACGUGCAAUUCUCUCGACCAAAAACGAGCAUGUGGAUGACUUGAAUGACAAGAUGAUCUCCAGAUUUCCGGGCGAGGAAAAGGUGUACCAUAGCUUUGACUAUAUCGAGGAUGACUUCCAGAACAAUUACACAAUUGACUUCCUGAACUCGAUCACACCAAAUGGGUUGCCCCCGCAUGUCUUGAGAGUAAAAAUCAACUGCCCGGUCAUUUUGCUACGGAACCUCGACCCUCAUAAUGGGCUAUGUAAUGGAACACGCCUUAUGAUCAGGGCCUUCCAGGAUAAUGCAAUCGAUGCUGAGAUUGUUGGUGGCCAGCAUGCUGGAAAGAGGGUGUUCAUACCUAGGAUCCCUAUGUCGCCCUCGGAGGACACCUCGCUUCCGUUCAAGCUUAAGAGAAAACAGUUCCCGAUCCGCCUGAGUUUUGCGAUGACCAUUAACAAGGCACAGGGUCAAACCAUCCCAAAUGUCGGUAUUUACCUUCCAGAACCUGUUUUCUCACAUGGCCAACUAUAUGUUGCAUUGUCAAGGGGUGUCUCAAGAAAGACGACACGGAUUUUAGCCAAGCCUAACACCGAGGUUGAUAAAUCUGGGAGAAGCACCAAAAACAUUGUCUAUAGAGAUGUUUUAGAGGGGUGA